rnacentral:rRNA from 1 species
CGCGGCCUAUCAGCUUGUUGGUGAGGUAACGGCUCACCAAGGCAUCGACGGGUAGCUGGUCUGAGAGGACGAUCAGCCACACUGGGACUGAGACACGGCCCAGACUCCUACGGGAGGCAGCAGUAGGGAAUCUUGCGCAAUGGGCGAAAGCCUGACGCAGCAACGCCGCGUGGGGGAUGAAUGCCUUCGGGUUGUAAACCCCUUUCAGCAGGGACGAAAAUGACGGUACCUGCAGAAGAAGCUCCGGCCAACUACGUGCCAGCAGCCGCAGUAAUACGUAGGGAGCGAGCGUUGUCCGGAAUUAUUGGGCGUAAAGAGCUCGUAGGCGGUUCAGUAAGUCGGGUGUGAAAACUCAAGGCUCAACCUUGAGACGCCACUCGAUACUGCUGUGACUUGAGUCCGGUAGAGGAGUGUGGAAUUCCAGGUGUAGCGGUGAAAUGCGCAGAUAUCAGGAGGAACACCAGCGGCGAAGGCGGCACUCUGGGCCGGUACUGACGCUGAGGAGCGAAAGCAUGGGGAGCAAACAGGAUUAGAUACCCUGGUAGUCCAUGCCGUAAACGUUGGGCACUAGGUAUGGGAUCAUAUCAACGGAUUCCGUGCCGUAGCUAACGCAUUAAGUGCCCCGCCUGGGGAGUACGG